CAACAAUUUUCACCUUCUUCUUUGUCACAUCUCGGUUUGGCGGACCCGUAUUUUGAAAGACUGUUCAAGUUGGAUCGGCAAGGAUUUGCCCGUGAGCUAAGGUUAAUUCUCACGUUGGAAUGAUUUUUUUGUCACUUCACCUCGGGCGAAUUGUUUCGUAGUGUUUCGCCGUCUUGCGAACUCCUAUUCUGUUUUGGCAAACUCUUCCAUUAGCGGACACGUUUGUGGUGGCCAAAAUUGUUGUUUUGUUUGUGUUAUGUUUCCUAUAUAUAUCGUGGAGGAAAGGGAUGAGGAGCUUAGUUUUCCUUUCUCCGUUUUUCCUUGUUCUAUCUGUUUGAGGAUAGAGGUGUUAACUUGUGUGAUUGUGGAAAGAACCAUGUGUGGACUGGAGCUCCCUAAGAAGAUUCACCAGAAUGUUUUGUUGCAACAAAAUGAAUCCGCUGUGGAACAUGCUUCUGUUGUGACUUGCAUCAGAAUGUGAAUUUUCACUUUAGGUGAAUUGGGGCGUGGACUGAGCCGUUUACAAGGUGAAUCGUAAAUUAGUGAGACUAUGUGUCUGUGCGCUUUGAAGGAUUAUGCAAACUGAAGGAACACAUGAAAUGCUCUGGCGUAGAUUAUGAUCUUCAGUUCUCCUAUUGUGUAUAAGUAUCAGUUAUUCACUGAUUGUUGGGUGUGCGGAUAUGUAUUCAAUAUCUCCACCAAUGUGUAGUGUGAGUGCAGGCUUGUUUGUUUAUGUUCAACAGACCUAAUUGUAGGCUUAUAUUUGUAACUAUCUUUUCUGAUAACCUGUGUAAUAGGCCAAUUUCGCUCGGGCUCAAGACCAUACAAAAAAUAAAAAAAAAUUAAACAGUUCAUUUACAAAUUAAAACCCAAGACCUUAACCCAAUACAAGCCUAAAUCAGAAACCCUAGCCCAAAAAUUACAAGCCCAACAACCUAAACUAUUUUCAGCAAAAAAAAUAAACCCUAGCCCCUAACCCUCUUCAGCCGCUGCCUCUAGCUGCCACCACGCACGCCACCACCGCCGUACGCCAUC